rnacentral:rRNA from 1 species
GACGGAGGGUGCUAGCGUUGUUCGGAAUUACUGGGCGUAAAGGGCGCGUAGGCGGCGUCUCAAGUGGAUGGUGAAAUCCCCGGGCUUAACCUGGGAACUGCCGUCCAAACUGAGAGGCUUGAGUCCGGGAGAGGUAAGUGGAAUUCCCAGUGUAGCGGUGAAAUGCGUAGAUAUUGGGAGGAACACCAGUGGCGAAGGCGGCUUACUGGACCGGAACUGACGCUGAGGCGCGAAAGCGUGGGGAGCAAACAGG